rnacentral:rRNA from 1 species
UAAGUUAUUAAGGGCGCACGGUGGAUGCCUUGGCACUAGAAGCCGAUGAAGGACGUUACUAACGACGAUAUGCUUUGGGGAGCUGUAAGUAAGCUUUGAUCCAGAGAUUUCCGAAUGGGGAAACCCAGCAUGAGUUAUGUCAUGUUAUCGAUAUGUGAAUACAUAGCAUAUCAGAAGGCACACCCGGAGAACUGAAACAUCUUAGUACCCGGAGGAAGAGAAAGAAAAUUCGAUUCCCUUAGUAGCGGCGAGCGAAACGGGAAGAGCCCAAACCAAAAAGCUUGCUUGUUGGGGUUGUAGGACACUCUAUACGGAGUUACAAAGGACGACAUUAGACGAAUCAUCUGGAAAGAUGAAUCAAAGAAGGUAAUAAUCCUGUAGUCGAAAAUGUUGUCUCUCUUGAGUGGAUCCUGAGUACGACGGAGCACGUGAAAUUCCGUCGGAAUCUGGGAGGACCAUCUCCUAAGGCUAAAUACUCUCUAGUGACCGAUAGUGAACCAGUACCGUGAGGGAAAGGUGAAAAGCACCCCGGAAGGGGAGUGAAAUAGAACCUGAAACCGUGUGCUUACAAGUAGUCAGAGCCCGUUAAUGGGUGAUGGCGUGCCUUUUGUAGAAUGAACCGGCGAGUUACGAUUUGAUGCAAGGUUAAGCAGUAAAUGUGGAGCCGUAGCGAAAGCGAGUCUGAAUAGGGCGUUUAGUAUUUGGUCGUAGACCCGAAACCAGGUGAUCUACCCUUGGUCAGGUUGAAGUUCAGGUAACACUGAAUGGAGGACCGAACCGACUUACGUUGAAAAGUGAGCGGAUGAACUGAGGGUAGCGGAGAAAUUCCAAUCGAACCUGGAGAUAGCUGGUUCUCUCCGAAAUAGCUUUAGGGCUAGCCUCAAGUGAUGAUUAUUGGAGGUAGAGCACUGUUUGGACGAGGGGCCCCUCUCGGGUUACCGAAUUCAGACAAACUCCGAAUGCCAAUUAAUUUAACUUGGGAGUCAGAACAUGGGUGAUAAGGUCCGUGUUCGAAAGGGAAACAGCCCAGACCACCAGCUAAGGUCCCAAAAUAUAUGUUAAGUGGAAAAGGAUGUGGCGUUGCCCAGACAACUAGGAUGUUGGCUUAGAAGCAGCCAUCAUUUAAAGAGUGCGUAAUAGCUCACUAGUCGAGUGACACUGCGCCGAAAAUGUACCGGGGCUAAACAUAUUACCGAAGCUGUGGAUUGUCCUUUGGACAAUGGUAGGAGAGCGUUCUAAGGGCGUUGAAGCAUGAUCGUAAGGACAUGUGGAGCGCUUAGAAGUGAGAAUGCCGGUGUGAGUAGCGAAAGACGGGUGAGAAUCCCGUCCACCGAUUGACUAAGGUUUCCAGAGGAAGGCUCGUCCGCUCUGGGUUAGUCGGGUCCUAAGCUGAGGCCGACAGGCGUAGGCGAUGGAUAACAGGUUGAUAUUCCUGUACCACCUAUAAUCGUUUUAAUCGAUGGGGGGACGCAGUAGGAUAGGCGAAGCGUGCGAUUGGAUUGCACGUCUAAGCAGUAAGGCUGAGUAUUAGGCAAAUCCGGUACUCGUUAAGGCUGAGCUGUGAUGGGGAGAAGACAUUGAGUCUUCGAGUCGUUGAUUUCACACUGCCGAGAAAAGCCUCUAGAUAGAAAAUAGGUGCCCGUACCGCAAACCGACACAGGUAGUCAAGAUGAGAAUUCUAAGGUGAGCGAGCGAACUCUCGUUAAGGAACUCGGCAAAAUGACCCCGUAACUUCGGGAGAAGGGGUGCUCUUUAGGGUUAACGCCCAGAAGAGCCGCAGUGAAUAGGCCCAAGCGACUGUUUAUCAAAAACACAGGUCUCUGCUAAACCGUAAGGUGAUGUAUAGGGGCUGACGCCUGCCCGGUGCUGGAAGGUUAAGAGGAGUGGUUAGCUUCUGCGAAGCUACGAAUCGAAGCCCCAGUAAACGGCGGCCGUAACUAUAACGGUCCUAAGGUAGCGAAAUUCCUUGUCGGGUAAGUUCCGACCCGCACGAAAGGCGUAACGAUUUGGGCACUGUCUCAACGAGAGACUCGGUGAAAUCAUAGUACCUGUGAAGAUGCAGGUUACCCGCGACAGGACGGAAAGACCCCGUGGAGCUUUACUGUAGCCUGAUAUUGAAAUUCGGCACAGCUUGUACAGGAUAGGUAGGAGCCUUUGAAACGUGAGCGCUAGCUUACGUGGAGGCGCUGGUGGGAUACUACCCUAGCUGUGUUGGCUUUCUAACCCGCACCACUUAUCGUGGUGGGAGACAGUGUCAAGCGGGCAGUUUGACUGGGGCGGUCGCCUCCUAAAAGGUAACGGAGGCGCUCAAAGGUUCCCUCAGAAUGGUUGGAAAUCAUUCAUAGAGUGUAAAGGCAUAAGGGAGCUUGACUGCGAGACCUACAAGUCGAGCAGGGUCGAAAGACGGACUUAGUGAUCCGGUGGUUCCGCAUGGAAGGGCCAUCGCUCAACGGAUAAAAGCUACCCCGGGGAUAACAGGCUUAUCUCCCCCAAGAGUUCACAUCGACGGGGAGGUUUGGCACCUCGAUGUCGGCUCAUCGCAUCCUGGGGCUGUAGUCGGUCCCAAGGGUUGGGCUGUUCGCCCAUUAAAGCGGUACGCGAGCUGGGUUCAGAACGUCGUGAGACAGUUCGGUCCCUAUCCGUCGUGGGCGUAGGAAAUUUGAGAGGAGCUGUCCUUAGUACGAGAGGACCGGGAUGGACAUACCUCUGGUGUACCAGUUGUCGUGCCAACGGCAUAGCUGGGUAGCUAUGUGUGGACGGGAUAAGUGCUGAAAGCAUCUAAGCAUGAAGCCCCCCUCAAGAUGAGAUUUCCCAACUUCGGUUAUAAGAUCCCUCAAAGAUGAUGAGGUUAAUAGGUUCGAGGUGGAAGCAUGGUGACAUGUGGAGCUGACGAAUACUAAUCGAUCGAAGACUUAAUCA